GGGUCGUUAGCUCAGUCGGUAGAGCAGUUGACUUUUAAUCAAUUGGUCGCUGGUUCGAAUCCAGUUGGUCGCUGGUUCGAAUCCAGCACGACCCACCA
rnacentral:tRNA from 1 species